rnacentral:rRNA from 1 species
GAUGAACGCUAGCGGCAGGCUUAAUACAUGCAAGUUGAGGGGCAGCAUGAUAUACGCGAGUAUAUUGAUGGCGACCGGCGGACGGGUGAGUAAUAGGUAGGAGACCUACCUCAUACAGGGGGAUAGCAUAGAGAAAUCUGUGGUAAUACCCCAUGAGGUUAUAUGAAUAGAGGCAUAUAAUCAAAGCAUAAGCGAUUAUGCGGUAUGAGAGGGGCCUACUGACCAUUAGCUAGUUGGUGAGGUAAGGGCUCACCAAGGCGAAGAUGGUUAGGGGUUUUGAGAGAGAGACCCCCCACAUUGGAACUGAGAGACGGUCCAGACUCCUACGGGAGGCAGCAGUAGGGAAUAUUGGGCAAUGGGCGAAAGCCUGACCCAGCCAUGCCGCGUGAAGGAAGACGGCCUUAUGGGUUGUAGACUUCUUUACUACGCGAAUAGAGGUUAGUACGAGAUACUAAUAGGAAGGUAGUGUAGUAAAAAGCACCGGCUAACUCCG